GGGGCAAAAACAGCCCCAAAGUGCGUGUGAAUAGUGUGCUUAUUGGCCAGGUACACGGUUCGUGAAUC
ncrna:unclassified sequences L13-Bacteroidia ribosomal protein leader